rnacentral:rRNA from 1 species
AGCGCAGGUGGUUUCUUAAGUCUGAUGUAAAAGGCAGUGGCUCAACCAUUGUGUGCAUUGGAAACUGGGAGACUUGAGUGCAGGAGAGGAGAGUGGAAUUCCAUGUGUAGCGGUGAAAUGCGUAGAUAUAUGGAGGAACACCGGAGGCGAAAGCGGCUCUCUGGCCUGUAACUGACACUGAGGCUCGAAAGGCGUGGGAAGCAAACA